rnacentral:rRNA from 1 species
UACGUAGGUGGCAAGCGUUGUCCGGAUUUACUGGGCGUAAAGAGCGCGCAGGCGGUCGUCCAAGUCGCGUGUGAAAGCCCCCGGCUCAACUGGGGAGGGUCACGCGAUACUGGUCGACUCGAAGGCAGGAGAGGGUAGUGGAAUUCCCGGUGUAGUGGUGAAAUGCGUAGAUAUCGGGGGGAACACCAGUGGCGAAGGCGGGCCGACUGGGCCGAUCCUGACG